rnacentral:rRNA from 1 species
UGGGGAAUAUUGCGCAAUGGGCGAAAGCCUGACGCAGCGACGCCGCGUGAGGGAUGAAGGUUUUCGGAUCGUAAACCUCUGUCAGAAGGGAAGAAACCGCACUGUGCUAAUCAGCAGUGCCUUGACGGUACCUUCAAAGGAAGCACCGGCUAACUCCGUGCCAGCAGCCGCGGUAAUACGGAGGGUGCAAGCGUUAGUCGGAAUUACUGGGCGUAAAGCGCACGUAGGCUGCUUUGUAAGUCAGGGGUGAAAUCCCACGGCUCAACCGUGGAACUGCCUUUGAUACUGCUUAGUUUGAAUCCGGGAGAGGGGGGCGGAAUUCCAGGUGUAGGAGUGAAAUCCGUAGAUAUCUGGAGGAACAUCAGUGGCGAAGGCGGCCACCUGGACCGGUAUUGACGAUGAGGUGCGAAAGCGUGGGGAGCAAACAGG